AACGAACGCUGGCGGCAUGCCUAACACAUGCAAGUCGAACGAGACCUUCGGGUCUAGUGGCGCACGGGUGCGUAACGCGUGGGAACCUGCCCUUGGGUUCGGAAUACCUCCCCGAAGGGGGUCCUAAUACCGGUUAAUGUCUUCGGCCCAAAGAUUUAUCGCUUUUGGAUGGGCCCGCGUUGGAUUAGCUAGUUGGUAGGGUAAAAGCCUACCAAGGCGACGAUCCUUAGCUGGUCUGAGAGGAUGAUCAGCCACACUGGGACUGAGACACGGACCAGAAUCCUACGGGAGGGAGCAGUGGGGAAUAUUGGACAAUGGGCGAAAGCCUGAUCAAGCAAUGCCGCGUGAGUGAUGAAGGCCUUAGGGUUGUAAAGCUCUUUUACCCGGGAUGAUAAUGACAGUACCGGGAGAAUAAGCUCCGGCUAACUCCGUG
rnacentral:rRNA from 1 species